GCGGACGUGGCUCAGUGGUAGAGCAUCACCUUGCCAAGGUGAGGGUCGCGGGUUCGAAUCCCGUCGUCCGCUCGA
rnacentral:tRNA from 3 species